GUGAAAUGCGUAGAUAUCGGGAGGAACACCAGUGGCGAAGGCGAUCACCUGGGGUUGAACUGACGCUGAGGAGCGAAAGCUAGGGGAGCAAACGGGAUUAGAUACCCCGGUAGUCCUAGCCGUAAACGAUGGAUACUAGGUGUAUGAGGUAUCGACUCCUUAUGUGCCGCAGUUAACACAGUAAGUAUCCCGCCUGGGGAGUACGGCUGCAAGGUUAAAGCUCAAAGGAAUUGACGGGGGCCCGCACAAGCGGUGGAGCAUGUGGUUUAAUUCGACGCAACGCGAAGAACCUUACCGGGGCUUGACAUCGGAUGAUCAUUCUAGAAAUAGAGUUUCCUCGUAAGAGGACAUCCAGACAGGUGCUGCAUGGCUGUCGUCAGCUCGUGCCGUGAGGUGUUGGGUUAAGUCCCGCAACGAGCGCAACCCUCGUCGUAUGUUGGUCCAAAAGAUCUCUCAUGCGAGACCGCCGGUGAGAAGCCGGAGGAAGGUGGGGAUGACGUCAAGUCAGCAUGGCCCUUACGUCCCGGGCUACACACGUGCUACAAUGGGGAGGACAACGAGCAGCAAACUCGCGAGGGUAAGCAAAUCUCUUAAACCUCUCCUCAGUUCGGAUUGAAGGCUGCAACUCGCCUUCAUGAAGUCGGAAUCGCUAGUAAACGCAGAUCAGCUACGCUGCGUUGAAUACGUUCCCGGGCCUUGUACACACCGCCCGUCACGUCACCUGAGUUUAGUGUACCCGAAGCCGCCCGUGCAACCGCAAGGAGCAAGGCGUCUAAGGUGUGCUAGGUAAGGGGGACGAAGUCGUAACAAGGUAACCGU
rnacentral:rRNA from 1 species